UGGGAUGUAGCUCAGCGGUAGAGUGUGCGCUUAGCAUGUGUAAGGCCUGGGGUUCAAUCCCCAGCACCAAAA
rnacentral:tRNA from 1 species